rnacentral:rRNA from 1 species
UACGAAGGGGACUAGCGUUGUUCGGAAUCACUGGGCGUAAAGCGCACGUAGGUGGAUUUGUAAGUCAGGGGUGAAAUCCCGGGGCUCAACCUCGGAACUGCCUUUGAUACUGCGAAUCUUGAGUCCGAUAGAGGUGGGUGGAAUUCCUAGUGUAGAGGUGAAAUUCGUAGAUAUUAGGAAGAACACCAGUGGCGAAGGCGGCCCACUGGAUCGGUACUGACACUGAGGUGCGAAAGCGUGGGGAGCAAACAGG